GGAAAGUUUUACUUUUACUUCUGGACCCACUGGGUAGCCUCAGGGCACGUGACAGUGUUCUCUAUUCCUAGUUAUGUUUGCAAGGGUAAAACAUAGAAGUUCUGUGGCUUUCAAACACACAAGCAACAACCACUACACAAAAACCUAUGGCGCUUCUUGGGUUGGGAUUUUGAGAUUGAACCCUAGGCGUUUCCUAAGCAAAACGAGUUACACUUGGUUCUGUGGUUCUCUGAUAGUCUUUGCCUAGACCUCAGGGGUGAAGACUUGGCAGGUGCCUCAUAGUCAGAAGAAUGAUAACAACAACAACAACAACAAAAACAGUUCACAGUGUGCUCUCAAACUCUGAGCACUGGAAUCAGACUGCCUGUGUUAGGUCCUAGUUUUGACACGUGGACUCUGCAACUUAACUUUCCUGAAUCGCAGUUUUCUCAUCAAUAAGAUAAGGUGAUAAUAAUGAUACCUUUCCUUAUAGUUGUGCUAAUUAUAAAUAUAUCACCAUGAGUGGCACACAUUAAGUGAAAAAAUGCUCACUGACUUUUAUUAAGGUUACUAUUAUUUAUGACAUGCUUUUCCUUAUUCUUUUCCUGCUUAAACUUAACUACAAAAAUUAAGGUCUCAAAACACUUGCAGAUGCCAGGUGGCCCAAGAUCCAUCUAUAAUCUUCUGGCCAACCAUUGUUUCCC
rnacentral:lncRNA from 1 species